ensembl:snoRNA U3 Small nucleolar RNA U3
AAGACUAUACUUUCAGGGAUCAUUUCUAUAGUUUGUUACUAGAGAAGUUUCUCUGAAUGUGUAGAGUACCACUUAUUCAUCAUGAU